AGCAACUGUGAAAGCACCACUCCAAUCGAUCCUUCUUCCGUUGUCCCUACUAAACCUCCUGAACUCAUCCCAGCUGAUCCUCCUGCACCUGCACCAAGUAGUGCAAACAACGUUCGUACACCAGACACAAACAAUAAGAAAGACAAUAUGCCAACAAACUAUAUUAGCUCUUACACUCUAAGGAAUAAUGUGACAAGACGUGUGCAGGCAAGGGGCAACAAAAGAAGCGAAUGUGUACAAUCCGCAAGUGCAAGCGAGAAGCAAGGUAGAUCAACUUAAGAAGCUCUAUCAAAGUGUGUUUAAGGUUCCUUGUCGUCGUGAUAUCGUCGUCAGCCUAGCUAACCAUCGCUUGCAUCAAUGGAGGGGAUGGAGGGGUACACGAUG